rnacentral:rRNA from 1 species
CGGGGUGAGUAACGCGUGGGUAACCUGCCUCAUACAGGGGGAUAACAGUUGGAAACGACUGCUAAUACCGCAUAAGCGCACAGUGUCGCAUGACACAGUGUGAAAAACUCCGGUGGUAUGAGAUGGACCCGCGUCUGAUUAGCUAGUUGGUGGGGUAACGGCCUACCAAGGCGACGAUCAGUAGCCGACCUGAGAGGGUGAUCGGCCACAUUGGGACUGAGACACGGCCCAA